GUCCACGCCGUAAACGAUGCUAACUCGUUUUGGGGCUUCGGCUUCAGAGACUAAGCGAAAGUGAUAAGUUAGCCACCUGGGGAGUACGUUCGCAAGAAUGAAACUCAAAGGAAUUGACGGGGCCCGCACAAGCGGUGGAUUAUGUGGUUUAAUUCGAUGAUACGCGAGGAACCUUACCAAGGCUUAAAUGGGAAUUGAUCGGUUUAGAAAUAGACUUUCCUUCGGGCAAUUUUCAAGGUGCUGCAUGGUUGUCGU
rnacentral:rRNA from 1 species